rnacentral:misc_RNA from 1 species
GAUGAAGAACGCAGCGAAAUGCGAUAAGUAAUGUGAAUUGCAGAAUUCAGUGAAUCAUCGAAUCUUUGAACGCACAUUGCGCCCUUUGGUAUUCCGGAGGGCAUGCCUGUCCGAGCGUCAUUGCUGCCCUCAAGCACGGCUUGUGUGUUGGGCCUCCGUCCUCCUCCCGGGGGACGGGCCCGAAAGGCAGCGGCGGCACCGCGUCCGGUCCUCGAGCGUAUGGGGCUUCGUCACCCGCUCUUGUAGGCCCGGCCGGCGCUUGCCGACACAUCAAUCUUUUUUCCAGGUUGACCUCGGAUCAGGUAGGGAUACCCGCUGAACUUAAGCAUAUCAAUAAGCGGAGGA